rnacentral:tRNA from 1 species
GCUACUAUGGCUCAGUUGGCAGAGCGCGUCCUUGGUAAGGACGAGGUCGCCGGUCCGAAUCCGGCUAGUAGCU